rnacentral:rRNA from 1 species
GAUGAACGCUGGCGGCGUGCCUAAUACAUGCAAGUCGAGCGAACGGACGAGAAGCUUGCUUCUCUGCUGUUAGCGGCGGACGGGUGAGUAACACGUGGAUAACCUACCUAUAAGACUGGGAUAACUUCGGGAAACCGGAGCUAAUACCGGAUAAUAUUUUGAACCGCAUGGUUCAAAAGUGAAAGACGGUCUUGCUGUCACUUAUAGAUGGAUCCGCGCUGCAUUAGCUAGUUGGUAAGGUAACGGCUUACCAAGGCAACGAUGCAUAGCCGACCUGAGAGGGUGAUCGGCCACACUGGAACUGAGACACGGUCCAGACUCCUACGGGGGGCAGCAGUAGGGAAUCUUCCGCAAUGGGCGAAAGCCUGACGGAGCAACGCCGCGUGAGUGAUGAAGGUCUUCGGAUCGUAAAACUCUGUUAUUAUGGAAGAACAUAUGUGUAAGUAACUGUGCACAUCUUGACGGUACCUAAUCAGAAAGCCACGGCUAACUACGUG